UCUGUACUAAUUAUAAACCCAUCUGUGUAUCUUACCUGUUGCUUCCGUGGGGUGCGGUGGCUCCGGCCGCCGCUUGACCCACGGGAGGUCUACACCAAACCAUUGCAUUGCCAUGAUCUCAGUCUGAAAUGAAAACAACAAAAGUUAAAACUUUCAACAACGGAUCUCUUGGUUCUCGCAUCGAUGAAGAACGCAGCGAAAUGCGAUAAGUAGUGUGAAUUGCAGAAUUCAGUGAAUCAUCGAAUCUUUGAACGCACAUUGCGCCUCCUGGUAUUCCGGGAGGCAUGCCUGUUCGAGCGUCAUUAAAGACCACUCAAGCGAUUUUGCUUGGUAUUGGAAGAAGAGUGCCUCUGGCCCUCCCUUCCGAAAUCCAAUGGCGGAAAGUCUCACGUGCCCCGGCGUAGUAAGUUUAUCUUUCGCUUGGACCCUGAGGCGUUCUCGCCCUCAAAUCCCCAAUACUAUAGGUUGACCUCGGAUC
rnacentral:rRNA from 1 species